AAAUCUGGAAGUGGGAGAUCCAAUGUAUGAGUGUGGACUUGCGCAUACGGGACUUUAAAAACGAUUGUUCGCGCACGAAUUGUUGAACAAGAAGUGCAUUCGUAAUUUAUAACCUGCUGGAAAUUACGGAAUAGGGAAUAAAGCAGAGGAUUAACAUGAUAAGCGAAGUAACGAGUAGAUAAAUAAUUGCUACCUUAACCUCAAAUUAGCAUCGCGCGAUCUCGAAAUGGCGCAGAUUCAAAAGUACAGUUUGCGACUGGCACGCAAUGCUGUUUACCUAGAAAAACAGACUUUACUGGCAAGCAGCGCAGCAACUCAGACGUGUAAUUACUCCAGUAAUCCGAGGAUAAUUAAGGAUUCUAACACAGCGGCUCUAAAAAGAGGAACAGGAGGGCGGAGUUCUUUUAACGGCUCCGUGUGCACCGUUUUUGGUGCUAGUGGGUUUCUUGGGCGGUAUGUCUGCAAUCAAUUAGGAAAAAUUGGGACACAGUUAAUUAUUCCAUUUCGAGGGGAUCACUACAACGUUAUGCAGUUAAAAUUAUGUGGCGAUUUAGGACAAGUGCUUUACAGCCCUUUCCACUUGUGUGAUGAAGAAUCCAUUCUGAAAGCAAUUAAAUACUCAAAUGUUGUUGUAAAUUUAAUUGGCUGCGAUUGGGAAACCAAGAACUUUAAGUUCAACGAUGUAAAUGUCGAAGGGCCAGCACGACUUGCCAGACUUGCAAAGCAAUCUGGAGUAGAACGAUUCAUUCAUGUUUCUUGUCUUAACGUGACUGCUAAUGAGCCACCAAAAUUUUUGAAAACUGGCUCCAGAUUCUUAAAGUCAAAAUUGGCUGGUGAAGAAGCAGUAAAAAAAGAAUUCCCAGAAGCUACGAUCGUUCGGCCAUCGGACAUAUAUGGCCAAGAGGAUAAAUUCCUUCGCCAGUACGGUACCAAAUUCAGAGUGCACUUGAGAGGAAUACCCCUCUGGGAGAAGGGUGAAAAAACUGAAAAACAACCUGUUGCAGUAUAUGAUGUUGCAGCUGGCAUAGCAGCAUUAGUAAAAGAUCCAAAUACGGCAGGCAAAACAUACCAAUUUGUUGGGCCGAAACGUUAUAAGUUGUCUGAGCUGGUUGAUUGGUUUUGUGGUUUCCUAAGAUACGAAUCCAAGAAGUACGGAUAUCGAAGACUUGAUAUUAAACGUUUUCCAUUAUUUUAUUUGAAACUUGAAUUAUGUUCAGCAUUAAGCCCUAGUUACCCAGCAGGUCUCCUUCAUUGGGAGGGUAUUGAAAAAGAACACAUAAGCGACGUCGUUCUGAAAGACUUACCUACCCUUGAAGAUCUAGGAAUUCAGUUAACCGAAAUGGAAAAUCAAGUCCCAUGGGAGAUGAAAAUUUACAAAAUUGAUGGCACUUACGAUGCUGACUUAGGAGAAUUUGAUCCACCACCGUUCCCUAAAACCGUCCCUCUUCCAUAUUAGUGACAGUUCUUACCAUAUAAGCACAUGAAAUCACAUCGUACCACAGUGAAGGAGGUAUCUCUUCGAAAGUCAUAACCUCAACCGUGUUGGCAGAGGUCUAUCUUCGAUCAAAGCACAGAGUACUUCUCCGGUUAAGCUAGCUGUCGGUAAAAACGAGGGAAUGCCACGCUGUACUAACGAAGCAGACGUCGAUACGAGGAUUGCACGAAUUCUUUAGCAGAGGAUGAGAAGAUGCAGAAAUUCCUUAAUUAUUCCUGCAUCCCGAUGUUCGUUUCGCGCACGUACAGUUAAGGCGAUGUGGGAGAACCGCUUUAGAGACCGAGUGAGAAACUUAGCAGUUCCCCGGUGUGCUCGAUCACUACAGGAGUUUCACGUCAAAUGAUCUUGGAAUGAAUAAUUAAUGUUUAGGACCGAUACAAGGUAUAGUUAAUGUCAUUUCUAUUGGUCAUUGUCCUCGAUUGCAUUUAAGGAUAUGCGCGUCAGCUCAGCCGAUGGGACUUGAAACUUCCACCGAGCAGAAUUCCUUUGAACGUCUCUCACCAUUGUAAUCGUUUAGGAAGAACAAAGAAGAAAAUCCAUCCAAA